rnacentral:tRNA from 1 species
GAGGUUGUGGCUCAGCGGUAGAGUGCUCGUCUAGCAUGUAGUGAGGCCCUGGGUUCGAUCUUCAGCACCACA